ACUUAAGUUUGAUUCUUCGGAUGAAGACUUUUGUGACUGAGCGGCGGACGGGUGAGUAACGCGUGGGUAACCUGCCUCAUACAGGGGGAUAACAGUUAGAAAUGACUGCUAAUACCGCAUAAGACCACAGGGUCGCAUGACCCGGUGGUAAAAACUCCGGUGGUAUGAGAUGGACCCGCGUCUGAUUAGCUAGUUGGUGGGGUAACGGCUCACCAAGGCGACGAUCAGUAGCCGACCUGAGAGGGUGACCGGCCACAUUGGGACUGAGACACGGCCCAAACUCCUACGGGAGGCAGCAGUGGGGAAUAUUGCACAAUGGGGGAAACCCUGAUGCAGCGACGCCGCGUGAAGGAUGAAGUAUUUCGGUAUGUAAACUUCUAUCAGCAGGGAAGAAAAUGACGGUACCUGACUAAGAAGCCCCGGCUAACUACGUGCCAGCAGCCGCGGUAAUACGUAGGGGGCAAGCGUUAUCCGGAUUUACUGGGUGUAAAGGGAGCGUAGACGGCAUGGCAAGUCUGAAGUGAAAGCCCGGGGCUCAACCCCGGGACUGCUUUGGAAACUGUCAGGCUAGAGUGCUGGAGAGGUAAGUGGAAUUCCUAGUGUAGCGGUGAAAUGCGUAGAUAUUAGGAGGAACACCAGUGGCGAAGGCGGCUUACUGGACAGUGACUGACGUUGAGGCUCGAAAGCGUGGGGAGCAAACAGGAUUAGAUACCCUGGUAGUCCACGCCGUAAAACGAUGACUACUAGGUGUCGGGUAGCAAAGCUAUUCGGUGCCGCAGCAA
rnacentral:rRNA from 1 species